GCCGGCAUAGCUCAGCUGGUAGAGCAUCUGAUUUGUAAUCAGGAGGUCGCGGGUUCGAAUCCUGCUGCCGGCA
rnacentral:tRNA from 1 species